rnacentral:rRNA from 1 species
GACAGAGGGUGCGAACGUUGUUCGGAAUUACUGGGCGUAAAGCGCGUGUAGGCGGCAACGCAAGUCGGGCGUGAAAUCCCACGGCUCAACCGUGGAAGUGCACUCGAAACUGCGUAGCUAGAGUCCUGGAGAGGAAGGUGGAAUGCUUGGUGUAGAGGUGAAAUUCGUAGAUAUCAAGCGGAACACCGGUGGCGAAGGCGGCCUUCUGGACAGUGACUGACGCUGAGACGCGAAAGCGUGGGGAGCAAACGGG